GACGAACGCGGCGGCGUGCCUAAUACAUGCAAGUCGAACGCUUUUUCUUUCACCGGAGCUUGCUCCACCGAAAGAAAAAGAGUGGCGAACGGGUGAGUAACACGUGGGUAACCUGCCCAUCAGAAGGGGAUAACACUUGGAAACAGGUGCUAAUACCGUAUAACACUAUUUUCCGCAUGGAAGAAAGUUGAAAGGCGCUUCUGCGUCACUGAUGGAUGGACCCGCGGUGCAUUAGCUAGUUGGUGAGGUAACGGCUCACCAAGGCAACGAUGCAUAGCCGACCUGAGAGGGUGAUCGGCCACACUGGGACUGAGACACGGCCCAGACUCCUACGGGAGGCAGCAGUAGGGAAUCUUCGGCAAUGGACGAAAGUCUGACCGAGCAACGCCGCGUGAGUGAAGAAGGUUUUCGGGUCGUAAAAACUCUGUUGUUAGAGAAGA
rnacentral:rRNA from 1 species